UACGGAGGAUGCGAGCGUUAUCCGGAUUUAUUGGGUUUAAAGGGUGCGUAGGCGGACGCUUAAGUCAGCGGUAAAAUUGCGGGGCUCAACCUCGUCGAGCCGUUGAAACUGGGUGCCUUGAGUGGGCGAGAAGUCCGCGGAAUGCGUGGUGUAGCGGUGAAAUGCAUAGAUAUCACGCAGAACUCCGAUUGCGAAGGCAGCGUACCGGCGCCCAACUGACGCUGAAGCACGAAGGCGUGGGUAUCGAACAGG
rnacentral:rRNA from 1 species